GACAGAGGGUGCAAACGUUGUUCGGAAUUACUGGGCAUAAAGGGCACGUAGGUGGUUCGCUAAGUUACGUGUGAAAUCCCCCGGCUCAACCGGGGAAUUGCGCGUGAUACUGGCGGACUCGAGGCGGGUAGGGGCAGAGGGAAUUUCCGGUGGAGCGGUGAAAUGCAUUGAGAUCGGAAAGAACACCAACGGCGAAAGCACUCUGCUGGGCCGACACUGACACUGAGAGACGAAAGCUAGGGGAGCAAAUGGG
rnacentral:rRNA from 1 species